rnacentral:rRNA from 1 species
AUUGAACGCUGGCGGCAGGCCUAACACAUGCAAGUCGAGCGGGGUUUUCGGACCUAGCGGCGGACGGGUGAGUAAUGUGUAGGAAGCUGCCCGAUAGAGGGGGAUACCAGUUGGAAACGACUGGUAAUACCGCAUAAUGUCUAAGGACCAAAGUGUGGGACCUUCGGGCCACAUGCAAUCGGAUGCGCCUACGUGGGAUUAGCUAGUUGGUGAGGUAAUGGCUCACCAAGGCGACGAUCUCUAGCUGGUUUGAGAGGAUGAUCAGCCACACUGGAACUGAGACACGGUCCAGACUCCUACGGGAGGCAGCAGUGGGGAAUAUUGGACAAUGGGCGCAAGCCUGAUCCAGCCAUGCCGCGUGUGCGAAGAAGGCCUUCGGGUUGUAAAGCACUUUCAGCGAGGAGGAAGGGAGGUGUGUUAAUAGCACAUCAUUUUGACGUUACUCGCAGAAGAAGCACCGGCUAACUCUGUGCCAGCCGCCGCCGUAA